rnacentral:rRNA from 1 species
UACGUAGGGGGCAAGCGUUGUCCGGAUUUAUUGGGCGUAAAGCGCUCGCAGGUGGUUCGAUGCGUCGGGUGUGAAAGCCCUGGGCUCAACCCAGGAAGUGCACUCGAAACUGCGAGGCUAGAGUACUGGAGAGGUUGGUGGAAUUCUCGGUGUAGAGGUGAAAUUCGUAGAUAUCGAGAGGAACACCGGUGGCGAAGGCGGCCAACUGGACAGAUACUGACGCUGAGACUCGAAAGCGUGGGGAGCAAACAGG